CGAGCACAUGGACCCGCUGGUCGAGCGGGCUCGGCAAGGCCGGGAUGAAGAGGAGCUGCGAACCAGGAUCCGACCCAGUACCCCCAAAGCCCCUCGAGUGGAUAUCCACGCGGAAAGGAUGUUGGCAGUCCGGGUGACCUGGGAGUCAUGGCUGAAUCCACCCACCCGAAGAGAUGACAGCAGGAUCUCUUGAAGAUGCAAGCCAACCCCAUGUCCUGAGGAAAACAGCCCUAUGCCAUUUUAUGCAUGACCUUAGCAUGACUAUGGUAAGAAGAUGCCCUCCAGAAGACUGUGCUUGUGGACGACAUGGAGCCCCACUUGGGGAUUUUCUGAACCCUGUGGAUUUUACAGUGAGAUGCACUUGCCGAGGAGUGAUGCUGGUGGAUGCGGAUUCCGGAAGAACUCACCUGGCUGGCCUAAUAAAUUCUUUCAGGCUGGAUGCCCACUGGAGGCAAGGACAGUAGCUGAGAAGACUGUAUCUCAACCCUUGACUCAAUGCGAAUAUUUGCUCUGAUCUCCCGGACAACCUGGAGCUCCCUCAAAAAUAGAGCCGAGUUCUGUCACCAUGGACGCUGACAGUGGCAUGUUCCUUCCCGUGGCAAGCAGUCAGUCCUGAGGUGGAAGAAUUACCUGUGAGAUCUGGCUUGUAAACAGCACAGGCUUUGGGGAAGGCACAAUUUUUCCACACUGACAAGCCUGGGGCUCUGCAUAGGGAAUUAAGAUACAGACCAAGGAUGAUGACCAAAGGCCUGAGGACCCCAAUCGCAAAGUGCAAAGUAUCCUUGGACUUUCGGGAUGCAUACCUGUUCAGCAUUCCAGAAGGAUUUGGGGAUCAUCCUGUUCUAAAAUAAAGCCGGAGUAUUUGGGAGAUUUGGAAAAUUGAGAUGAGAAGCUUCUACUUAGAAACACCAAGUAACUCAGCUGAUAAAUAGCAAAGACAGAAGUCUUCAGGCUGGAGGGAAUUCUUUGAGACAGUUGAUCCCUCCAGCGCUGGUAGGAGAUUGAUGGACUUACACAGAAGAUAGAUCCAGCCAUGCCAUUGGCCCUAUGAGAAGGAGACACUCUUUCCAGAAGACGUAGAACAUUCCUGAACCUGGAAAGAUGCCUGGAAACUGGGAGAAGACAGAAGAGAGCACUUCCCCCUCUUGCCUGGGCAUCUCCUACCAUACUCAAUACUUUUCACCGGGUCACUGCUGAGCUGUCCUCGUUUAGUCUUGGUUUGAUGGAAUAUUAGUCUGAAAUUUUUACUUUCAAUUAAACUCACUUGUUGAACCACCUCUAUCUUCAAAGGAUUCUAUUAGGAUGGCUAAUUAUAGCUAUUGCUACAAGGCAUUAUUUGCACUCAAUUUCAGCUCUUAGGCAAUUUGGUUCAAGUGUUUUAUAUUUUCACUCUUCGGAGUUAUGUGUAACCAUCAUCCUCCUACACUACAGGUUUCAAAUGAGCUAUUUUUGGAAACCCAGAUCAAAACAGCAAUUUUGAUGGUGACCAUAUCUGGUCUAACUUUAAGUGCUGGUAAAAACAGUCAAAGACACAGUGCUAUACAGAGCAAGAAAGACCCCCACCCCCCGUUUAUGAGGUCAAGUGUUUGGAAAGUUCAAGCUGUCCUUUAUAUUACCAUAUUGGUCUGAGUACUAUCUAAAGCCAAAGGCAAUGUAAAUUCCUCCUAAAUUGCAGAGAUUUCUUCUUCUGCUAACUGUUGGCCAUAAUUAAUAUGUUUCAAGAUGGCAGCCAUGGAAGAGUUUAGCAGGGAUCCUGCAUUUCCCGUGAAGUGGAAGUUAUUUUCUAUUUACGGUUAUUUAUGUGUACGUGAGUGCGUGUAUGUUGUAUAUAGGUGGUUAUAAGUAUUUGUAUGUUAUAGCACAGAUGAGGUCCAACCCCAGCUUUCUGGAGUUGGUUUGUUCCUUCCUCUGUGAGUUCUCUAAUGCAGCUCAGGUGUUCACGGCAAGCACCGACCCUGUAAGCCAUCUUUGGGCUGAGAGCACUCUCUUUGUGUUCAUAACGCUGCCCUCAUUUCUUCUUGUGCCCACAGACACGUAGUCUAAUUCUUGCUUGCUAACCUGCUCUCCCUCCCCAAAAGUUCAGUUCUCAGCUUGUGGACCAGGACCAUCCUCUCUCCUGUCACAUGCCUGCCUCAUAAUAAGUACUUGCAUGAUCAACUGACGGAUGGGUGAAUGAAUCCUAAAAGUACAACUUUUAUUUUGUUUUUGAGAAAGUCAAUAUUUUAUUAUGUAAACAUUAAAUGAUUGCAUUCAUCUUUAAAAACAAAUAAGCAGAAAACAACCCCCUAGAAUUUUUCCAAAAAGGCUGAGAAUCUUCUAAUGUGUCUUUGCUAUUCUUCACUUCAUCCUUAUCCCUGCAGAGGGAAUAAUUUGUCAUCAUU